AUGUCGGUGCGUCCGAGCGAGCGGGCCGACGCGCGGCGGAACCGCUACAAGGUGACGGUGGACGCCGAUGAGGGGCGGCGGCGGCGCGAGGACAACAUGGUGGAGAUCCGCAAGAACCGCCGCGAGGAGAGCCUCCUCAAGAAGCGCCGCGAGGGGCUCCAGGCCCAGGCUCCUAUCCCUGCCGCCGGCGUCGAGAAGAAGCUUGAAAGCUUACCUGCUAUGGUUGGUGGGGUUUAUUCCGAGGAUAACAACCUGCAGCUUGAGGCAACGACACAAUUCCGCAAGUUGCUUUCUAUAGAAAGGAGCCCCCCAAUCGAAGAAGUUAUCCAAUCAGGCGUUGUUCCUCGAUUUGUGCAGUUUCUUACUAGAGAGGAUUUCCCCCAACUCCAGUUUGAAGCAGCGUGGGCACUCACAAACAUUGCGUCUGGCACAUCAGAGAAUACCAAGGUUGUCAUUGAUCAUGGGGCAGUUCCAAUAUUUGUGAAGCUUCUUGCAUCUGGCAGCGAUGAUGUUCGUGAGCAGGCUGUCUGGGCAUUGGGCAAUGUUGCUGGUGACUCCCCAAAGUGCCGCGACCUUGUACUCGCAAAUGGUGCAUUGAUGCCUCUGCUAGCACAGUUGAAUGAGCAUGCUAAACUCUCCAUGUUAAGGAAUGCGACCUGGACUUUAUCAAAUUUCUGCAGAGGAAAGCCACAGCCAGCAUUUGAUCAGACUAAGCCUGCUCUGCCAGCACUUGCACGACUUAUCCAUUCCAAUGAUGAGGAAGUUUUAACUGAUGCAUGCUGGGCUCUUUCGUAUCUCUCUGAUGGCACCAAUGACAAGAUCCAAUCUGUGAUUGAUGCUGGUGUCUGUCCCCGGCUUGUGGAGCUUCUCCUCCAUCCAUCACCUUCAGUGCUUAUACCUGCACUACGAACUGUUGGAAAUAUUGUCACAGGAGAUGACUCGCAAACUCAGUGCAUCAUUGAUCAUCAAGCUCUUGGGUGUCUCCUAAGUCUGUUGACACAAAAUCACAAGAAAAGCAUCAAGAAAGAGGCCUGCUGGACUGUUUCAAAUAUCACUGCUGGUAACAAAGAUCAGAUACAGGCUGUGAUUACUGCUGGGAUUAUUGGACCUCUGGUGCAUCUGCUGCAAACGGCUGAAUUCGAUAUCAAGAAGGAGGCUGCUUGGGCCAUCUCGAAUGCUACCUCCGGUGGUUCCCACGACCAAAUCAAGUAUUUGGUUAGCGAGGGCUGCAUCAAGCCACUGUGUGACCUCCUGCUUUGCCCAGAUCCAAGGAUUGUUACUGUUUGCUUGGAGGGUCUUGAGAACAUUCUCAAAGUUGGAGAAACUGAUAAGAAUUUGGGUGCUUCUGGGGAGGGGAAUGUCUAUGCGCAGAUGAUUGAUGAAGCAGAGGGCCUGGAAAAGAUUGAGAACCUGCAGAGCCAUGAUAACAAUGAAAUCUAUGAGAAGGCUGUGAAGAUUCUCGAGGCUUACUGGAUGGAGGAGGAAGAUGAUGCGAUGGGGGCAACUAUGGAAGCUCCCACAGGUGUUGCCUUUGACUUUGGCCAAGGUGGCAACCCUGAUCUGAACUUGGGCUGA
rnacentral:rRNA from 1 species